AACAGAUUUAUGGGGAGUCUUAUAUAAAAACCAAAUUAAUCACUUUGUUGGAGUUUGGACAAGAGGUGUAAAGAUCAAAAGAUUGUCUGGUAAGGUUAAACAUUGCUCUCUAUAUGCUCAGCAAUGUAUAAAGUUGUUGCUGAGAUGGCAAAUUUCAUGUGAAGAUAUCACUGGGCUACAUAGAAAACAAUUAUAUCAUGUUCUGUUAAAUAAGUACUAUAGUGCCCAGCUGGUUUUAAAAGACUGCCCUAAUACCUUAAUGAAAAAAGCCAUUCAGAAUGUUACUAGCACGAGAAUACCAGUUAAAUUGAGAGAUGUUAUUUGGCUUAGUUUUCAAGGAAAAUUAUACGUUCGCUCUAAUUUGAAAUUUAAAAAACUUGAGGAACGAAAUUGUCCGAGGGAAG